rnacentral:rRNA from 1 species
UACGAAGGGGGCUAGCGUUGUUCGGAAUUACUGGGCGUAAAGCGCACGUAGGCGGCCUGUUAAGUCGGAUGUGAAAGCCCAAGGCUCAACCUUGGAAGUGCAUUCGAAACUGGCGGGCUUGAAUAUGGACGAGGGUCGCGGAAUUCCCGGUGUAGAGGUGAAAUUCGUAGAUAUCGGGAGGAACACCAGUGGCGAAGGCGGCGACCUGGGCCAAUAUUGACGCUAAGGUGCGAAAGCGUGGGGAGCAAACAGG